rnacentral:rRNA from 1 species
CCUACGGGAGGCUGCAGUGGGGAAUAUUGGACAAUGGGCGCAAGCCUGAUCCAGCCAUGCCGCGUGAGUGAUGAAGGCCUUAGGGUUGUAAAGCUCUUUCAGUAGGGAAGAUAAUGACGGUACCUACAGAAGAAGCCCCGGCUAACUUCGUGCCAGCAGCCGCGGUAAUACGAAGGGGGCUAGCGUUGUUCGGAUUUACUGGGCGUAAAGCGCACGUAGGCGGAUUGUUAAGUUAGGGGUGAAAUCCCAGGGCUCAACCCUGGAACUGCCUUUAAUACUGGCAAUCUAGAGUCCGGAAGAGGUGAGUGGAACUCCUAGUGUAGAGGUGGAAUUCGUAGAUAUUAGGAAGAACACCAGUGGCGAAGGCGGCUCACUGGUCCGGUACUGACGCUGAGGUGCGAAAGCGUGGGGAGCAAACAGGAUUAGAUACCCUUGUAGUC